rnacentral:lncRNA from 1 species
AGCGGCCCCGCGACGCCCGGGCCCUGCGGCRAGCCCGGCCGGGGGGGCGAGGACGUGGGGCUGGGCCGUCCCCGGGGCCCGGGACCCUGGCGGCACCGGGAAAGGGGGCUCUGCUUUCGGAAGGGAGCUCCCGCCCCCGGCCGCCUUCGGCAUCUGUAGCCAGCGCAAAACCACCUGGGCCAUAUAUCAGGCAGCAAAGCUAAGUCUCUGCCAGCUUUUCCUCUUCAAAUUUAUUAGCAUUGUAUAGACUCAGAUUCAGUCUAUAAAUUAUUGGGAAUUGUUACAAAAAAGCAAGCAUCUCCUCCCAAGCCCCCCCCGCCCGAAAGAAAGGGGAAACCCUCCGAGAAAAAGAGCCGUAGCGAGGCAGGGGAGCAGGGAGAGGCUCCUCAACCAAGACCAACCAAACACAACCAAACGAAGCCCAACUCAACCCAACCCAACUCAACCCCGAUCAACUCAACCCCAUCCAACCCAACCCAGCCCGACUCAACCAAGCCAAAUCAAACCGAGCCAAACGAAUCCAAAACAAAUCAAACCAAGCCAAACGAAUCCAAAACAAAUCAAACCAAGCCAAACGAAUCUAAACGAAAUCAAACGAAGCCAAGCCAAGCGAAGCCAAACCAAACUCAAGUCGAGCAAACCCAAGCAAACCCAAGCAAAGCAAACCCAACCUCCGUCCGGCAGCGGAGGAGCGAGGAAGCUCCUCUGCUCCUCCGUCACGGGAGACCUGUCGCGUUGGCAUCGCCGGAGUCCUGCUAGCUGGCAGGACCAGGUUGCGGAGAGGGGGGGUUUGGGGACAAGGAAAGUUUCUGGUGGCGCCGAGACGUGGAUGCAGCUCUGUGGCUGGGGUACGGCCUUGCCUCUGUCCCCACGGCGUCAGCCCGGCCAGGACUUGCUGCAGGAAAAGAGCGUUGAUAAUAAAAUCCUGCUGAUAGUGUGGGGCUGGGGGGGAUGUGUGGGGCUGGGGAAGGGGCAAUCGCCACUGUCUGAAGCAGGAAAAAUCGACGGGGACGCGAAAGCGGCUGGAAACGCGCYGCUCUGCUGCGCGCCCGGGCGCAGAGGUAUUUUGAAAGCUUCCUUCUCUGAAAAUGUCCCUCGMGCGGGCGGAUCGGCCGCUUUUUGGCCUCCAGCCCCCGCUGCCGGCAUUUGCCGGUCGGGCACCGGCGCUGCGCGGCCCUCGCCCACGCGGGCAGGGAAGGGGCAAAGCCGGGGGCACACGCGUGUUCGUGGGAAGGGGGCGCGGGUGCGGCAUCCCGGGGCAGCGGGGGCCCGUCGGGGCGGUCCGGCGCCGCGGGGAAACGGAGCAAAUCCAAGCGACGGCGACAAGGGCAAGAGCUGGGACCCCCCCCGGGCCCGGAGGCCGCAGCGGGGCGGUGCRGGGGGGAGAGGGAAGCAGAAAGAGRGAGAGCCGGGAGGGAAGAAACCCGGCCGAAAAAGCAUGUUAAAUCGCUCAGGGAAGGAAGGUGGAAAAUUACGCUGGCUCCUAGCCGGCCUGUCCUCUCCUGCGCAGCCAGGAAAGCAAUUUUCCUAGGGGGUUGAGCGAAACGAAAUCAGCCCCUCUUGGAUCCGCAGCCCUCGUCGCUCGGCGGCCCAGCUAAGCUCCCGGCUGCCGCGGGCGCGCAGGGCCCCUCCGCGCAGCGCUGCCCCGCGGAUGCUCCGCGGGCGGCUG